CCUAGCCACCGUGCUUCUACACCUGCAUUGCUUGCUGUUUGGGGUUUUAGGCUGGGUUUCUGUACAGCACUUUGAGAUAUCAGCUGAUGUACGAAGGGCUAUAUAAAUAAAUUUGAUUUGACAGUUUAAGACACAUUUUAUUUGCCUUAAUUACUCAAAUAUAGACCCAGCUUUCAUUUGACAUACUCCUAUGAACUUCACGUUGGUGCUUGUGGCUCCUUUUACCUAAUGUGAAAAGGCUACUUCUAGGCAGGAAGCCUUGUUCUAUAGUAAGUGAACAGGGCCAGGACUUGGAAGGCUAGGUCCUGACUGACAAGUAUUACAUCACUUUGGGUCCAAGGCUGCAGUGGCCUAGUUUCACAGUACUGUCAAGGGGUUAACACCUAGUGACGUUCCACACACACACACACUCAACACAGACACACACCAGAACGUGACCAUGUCCAACAGACAGGAAUAACAGCAGGUGACCAUGUCCGGCGGACAGGAAUAACAGCAGGUGACCAUGUCCGGCGGACAGGAAUAACAGCAAGUGACCAUGUCCGACGGACAGGAAUAACAGCAGGUGACCAUGUCCGGCGGACAGGAAUAACAGCAGGUGACCAUGUCCGGCGGACAGGAAUAACAGCAGGUGACCAUGUCCGGCGGACAGGAAUAACAGCAGGUGACCAUGUCCGACGGACAGGAAUAACAGCAAGUGACCAUGUCCGACGGACAGGAAUAACAGAAAGUGACCAUGUCCGGCAGACAGGAAUAACAGCAGGUGACCAUGUCCGACGGACAGGAAUAACAGCAGGUGACCAUGUCCGACGGACAGGAAUAACAGCAGGUGACCAUGUCCGACAGACAGAUGGACAGGAAUAACAGCAGGUGAUAAUGCCUGCAAAAAUGCUGCUCUGGUCUUCUACUCCCCCUCAUCCACUUCUUAAAACACUAGGUUCCACGAAGACAAGGAAAUAACAUAUAGGUGGUUGAAUGGACAUAUACGUAGGUACAUGUCAACAUUAUCAUAUAGGUGGUUGAACGGAGUUCUACCUGUGUGUACAUGUUCAUAUGCAAGUUUGUCAGUGUGCACCUGUGUACAGAAUGUGUGUGUGCGCGCGUAUACACAGUACGCAUGUCUAGUGUGUGCAUAUUCCUACCUCCCAGGUCCUUCUCCUCCUCCUCCAGCUCCUCUUUAAGUUCCUGUAGUUUGCCCAGAGGGUGCAGAGCGGGCACCGUCACCCCUGGGAUCUGGGGCAGGCAGCAUGGAGGAGUCCGGGCAAUGGGAGAGUUCCGACAGUCCAGCAGGAACUUCCUGUCGUAGAUGAUGCGUGUUCCUGUCGGGGGG
ensembl:lncRNA